rnacentral:rRNA from 1 species
AUACGUAGGUGACAAGCGUUAUCCGGAUUUACUGGGCGUAAAGGGCGUGUAGGCGGUCUUGCAAGUCAGAAGUGAAAUUCCUGAGCUCAACUCGGGCGCUGCUUCUGAAACUGCAGGACUUGAGUGCUGGAGGGGAUAGCGGAAUUCCUAGUGGAGCGGUAAAAUGCGCAGAUAUUAGGAAGAGCACCGGUGGCGAAGGCGGCUAUCUGGACAGUAACUGGCGCUGAGGCGCGAAAGCGUGGGGAGCAAACAGGAUUAGAUACCCGGGUAGUCCACGCCGUAAACGAUGAAUACUAGGUGUAGGGGGUAUCGACUCCCUCUGUGCCGCAGUUAACACAAUAAGUAUUCAGCCUGGGGAGUACGGCCGCAAGGUUGAAACUCAAAUGAAUUGACGGGG